rnacentral:tRNA from 1 species
GGUUCCAUAGAGUAGUGGUUAGCAUGUCUGCUUUACACACAUAAGGUCCUGGGUUCGAGCCUUAGUGGAGCCA